ACAACCUAACAGUGUCUUUGUUCUCUCUCUCUUGUGCGCUGAGAUGCCUAAUUUUGAAUUUCAUAGCGGCAGAUGAAGCUCGUCUCUGAUUGGAUAAUCGCGGGAGGAGAGCGGGAGAAGAACAAGUGACGUCAAUAACGAGCGAGCCAGAACUGCGUUUAUUAGACAAAAAACAGGCCAAGCAGAAAUCUUCGGACCACUUUGUUAUUUUAAAGUCAUUUAAGUUUUUAAGACAAAUCUACGAUCUCAACACAAGUUUUUUUGGAGGAUCUGCUGCUGUUCAUCCAGAAAAUUGAAAGAUUGCACGGGACAUCUGCAGAGUGGCUGCUCAGAUGAUGUGAUAGAGAUGCUUCUGCUCAGCUACUUUGAGGAGGAGUCCAUGUUCCUCCAUGUAAAAGAUAGAUGUCUGGCAGAAGAGGUCCAACUGGAGCAAGUGCUUCUGACACCCACUGUUAUUGUCUGUCCUGCUAUUCGUCAACAAGGUACAUGCUGAGUCUGGAAUCAGAACCUAAUCAACACAAACAUGUCAUUCAUUUCUGCAUUGUGCCUCAUGUUCGGGAGCUACUACUGUUUUAAUAUCCAUUAUCCAUCUGAGCUGGCUUCAACUCUGGAGUUUUUUCAAAGGUGUUUUCUCAAUAAACCAAGAAAAGGGAACCAAAGUACAGAAUAAAAACUCCAAGAAUCCUCUCAACUUGAACCCUCGAGUCUUCACCCUGAUACAGGAACUCUCCGAUCACGAGUGGCGUUAAGCCUAAAUAUGGACUCUUUCUGUUGACUCUGACUGUUUGUUUGAGAAGAGGUACUGUUUUCACUUUGUUAAAUCCACAAUGUGUAUUAUGGUUAAGGCACUAUGUAAUUUUACAUUUUAAACUCUUAAUAGUGGUCUUCUGGAGUAUUUCAACUUGGAUUCAGUCAUAGUUAAAUAAAAAAAAAAAACACAUUACAUGUAGCUUUUUUGCAUCUUGUAUACCUUUGAAAAAAAGGGCCAAUUGUUUUAUGCCAUACUGAGUUGUUGCUGUGCGCCUGGCACUUUAAACUUGGUUAAAAAAUAACUUUUCAAACUUAGUUUAGCAUCGCUAUUUACAACUAUUUUGAUGGCUAUUAAAUAAAUUUUGCAAAAUAUAUCUUCCUCUCUUGUCUUAUUUCAAGAUGUAUUUUUUUUAAUUUACCACAAUAUAACUUCAUUAUUACAGCAUAUUAUGGAUAUUUUAUGUAUAAUAUACAGAACAUCCCAAUUUAAAGCGCAAAGUUUUACUGUUGUUUUACCAGUUUAAAUUAGUUUUUUGUUUGAUAUUUCCCUGUUUAUUUGAUCAUUUAUUGAUGCACAAUAAGCAGUUAUUACAUGUAAAAAAUACAAGAAAGUGUCUAUUUAUAUACAACAUUAUAACGUUAAAUAAACAGCCGGAUGUAAAUUUAACUGAGCAAACUCGUCAGUUUAGCAUAGUAGUGACCAUAGAUAUCACGGAAUCCCAAUGUUGAAUUCACAUGUUUAAAAUGUUAAAUUUACUCAAACUUGUUCACUUCAGUGUAACAAUGAUGUUAAUAUUACUGAAAUCCAAUGUUAAAUAUACAUGUUUAAAAUGUAAAAUUCACAUGUAACUCCGUAAGUAUGUUUACAGUUCGAUGUCAUUUUUACAGUAAUGUUCAGCUGCCGGUAUUUUUCCGUAGAAACAACGGGAUUUUUUUUACAGUGUAUAUGAUAAGGUUCAAACAAACUUACU